rnacentral:rRNA from 1 species
UUCUCGAAUUUAAAAGAGUUAAUUAAUUAAAAAAUUUAUUGUAGCAAAAAUAUUUUUCAUAAUUAAUUAGAAAUGAAAUGUUAAUCGUUUUUAAAUAUAUCUAGUUUUUUUAGAAAAAAAUUUAAUUUUAAAUUAAAUUAAUUAAAAAAUUAAUUAAAAAAUUUUUUAAAAUUUAAAUUUAAUAUUUUAAGGGAUAAGCUUUAAUUUAAAAUAUUUAUAAUUAAAUAUUAAAUUUUUUGAAAAUUUUAAAAUUUAUAUUGUUUAAAAAUUAUAAUUUUUUAUAAAUAAUUUUAUAAAAAAUAAAAUUUAAUUUUAAUUUAAUUUUUUAUAAAAAAAUAAAAUUAAAAAAAAUAAUUUUAGUUAUAAUGAUAAAAUUAGUAUAUAAAUUUUAUUUAAUUAAUAUUAUAAAAUAUUUUUAAAUGAAAAAUUAAUUAUAAGGAAUUCGGCAAAAAUUUAUAUUCACUUGUUUAUCAAAAACAUGUCUUUUUGAAAUAAUUUAAAGUCUAAUCUGCCCACUGAUGAAAAUUGAAGGGCUGCAGUAUUUUGACUGUACAAAGGUAGCAUAAUCAUUAGUCUCUUAAUUGGUGACUUGUAUGAAAGAUUGGAUGAGAUAUAAGCUGUCUUAUUUUUAUUUAUAGAAUUUAAUUUUUU